rnacentral:rRNA from 1 species
UACGUAGGGUGCGAGCGUUAAUCGGAAUUACUGGGCGUAAAGCGUGCGCAGGCGGCUUUGCAAGACAGAUGUGAAAUCCCCGGGCUCAACCUGGGAACCGCAUUUGUGACUGCAAGGCUAGAGUACGGCAGAGGGGGAUGGAAUUCCGCGUGUAGCAGUGAAAUGCGUAGAUAUGCGGAGGAACACCAAUGGCGAAGGCAAUCCCCUGGGCCUGUACUGACGCUCAUGCACGAAAGCGUGGGGAGCAAACAGG